CUUCCUCAUAAUAAUUGUCAAGGUUAGCCAUGUUCUCACAGUCCUCAGAAAACUCACAUUCCUCCAUGCCUUCAUUCAUAUUACAGUGAACAAAGACAUUCUUGGCAUACAUCAGGUCAAACUUGUGCUCCACGCCAGCCCAGACCUCAAGAAUGGCUCUGGUGUUGCUCAGCAUGCACACAAUUUGCUGUACAUUGAACAGGUCUCCUGCACCAGGUAGCACAGUGGGAGGCUAUUAAUUAAUGACAAUUUUGAAGGAGUGGGGCAACAGUACACUAACUGAAUGGUACACUUGAUCUUGAUGGUGGCAAUGACAGCAAUGAUAUCUUUGGAAACCAUGUCACCAUGACACAACAGGCAAGAACCCAUGUAUUUACCAUGGUGAGGAUCACAUUUCACCAUCUGGUGGGCUGGCUCAAAGCAUGAAUUGAUUUCUGCUACAGAAAGCUUUUAAUGGUAGGCUUUCUCAGAAUAGAUGAUUGGAACAUAUGUGGCCAGAGUAAAGUGGAUGCAGGGAUAGGGCACCAGGUUAGUCUGGAAUCUGUAAGAUCAACAUUCAGAGCUCCAUCAAAUCUGAGGGAAACAGUGAUGAAGAACAUAAUUUGACCUAUAAACCUAUUUAGGUUAUUGUAGGUUGGGUGUUCAAUAUUGAGGUUUCUAUGACAGAUGUCAUAGAUAGCCUCAUUGUCUACCAUGAAGGCACAAUCAGAAUGCUGCGGGUAAUGAGGAUGGAGUUGUAGGGCUCAACUACAGCUGUGGAAGCCUGAGGGGGGAGGUAAAUUGACAACUCCAGCUUAAACUUCCUGCCAUAAUUAACAGAGAGAUGUUCCAUCAGCAGGGAGGUGAA
rnacentral:lncRNA from 1 species